rnacentral:rRNA from 1 species
GUGUGCGAGUCAUUGGGUAUAUUGUUGAAACCUAAGGGCGCAAUUAAAAUAACUAUUUUAUGGGAUUACAAGUGAAUUAAAUUUCAUUUCUUCAUCCCGGGGCGUUCUAUACGAACAUGGUGCAAGCAAUUGAACCCUCUGUUCAAGAGCGUACCUUGAGCAUACAUGCUGUGACCCGAAAGAUGGUGAACUAUACCUGAUCAGAUCGAAGCCAGGAGAAAUUCUGGUGGAGGAUCGAAACAGUUCUGACGUGCAAAUCGAUUGUCAGAAUUGGGUAUAGGGGCGAAAGACCAAUCGAACCAUCUAGUAGCUGGUUCCCUCCGAAGUUUCCCUCAGGAUAGCUGGCGCAAAGAAUUAUAUUGUAUAUAAUCUUAUCUGGUAAAGCGAAUGAUUAGAGGCCUUGGGGCCGAAACGACCUCAACCUAUUCUCAAACUUUAAAUGGGUAAGAACCUCAUCUUUCUUGAUCUGAAGAUAUUGGGGUUUAGAUAUAUUGUGCCCAGUGGGCCACUUUUGGUAAGCAGAACUGGCGCUGUGGGAUGAACCAAACAUGAUGUUACGGCGCCUAAAUUAAUGACUCAUAUUGAUACCAUGAAAGGCGUUGGUUGCUUAAAACAGCAGGACGGUGGACAUGGAAGUCGUAAUCCGCUAAGGAGUGUGUAACAACUCACCUGCCGAAGCAACUAGCCCUUAAAAUGGAUGGCGCUCAAGUCAUAUGCCUAUACAUCAUCGCUAGAAUAAARAUUGUUGACCGUUUUGCGGUCAUCAGUAUGAAAUUCUAGUGAGUAGGAGGGUACAAUGGUGUGCGCAGAAGUGUUUGGCGUGAGCCUGCAUGAAGCCGCCAUUGGCACAGAUCUUGGUGGUAGUAGCAAAUAAUCGAAUGAGAUCUUGGAGGACUGAAGUGGAGAAGGGUUUCGUGUGAACAGUGGUUGAUCACGAGUUAGUCGGUCCUAAGCUUUAUGCGAAAGCUGUUUAAUUUAUGUUACACACACUAAUUAAUUUUUGUUGUACAUAAUUCAAUAAAAGCGAAAGGGAAUACGGUUCCAAUUCCGUAACCUGUUGAGUAUACGUUUGUUUAUUAAAAAUGGGUCUUAUUACACUCAUCCUGGCAACAGGAACGACCA